ensembl:lncRNA
CCUGGUCCAAAGGCCGUCUAUAUGAAGAUGAUAUAGAUUAAGCCUGGUCCAAAGGCCGUCUGGAUGAAGCAGAUAUAGAUUAAGCCUGGUCCAAAGGCCGUCUAUAUGAAGAUGAUAUAGAUUAAGCCUGGUCAAAGGGCCGUCUAUAUGAAGAUGAUAUAGAUUAAGCCUGGUCCAAAGGCCGUCUGUAUGAAGAUGAUAUAGAUUAAGCCUGGUCCAAAGGCCGUCUAUAUGAAGAUGAUAUAGAUUAAGCCUGGUCCAAAGGCCGUCUGGAUGAAGCAUCUUAAAGUAGGAGUGCUGAUUGAUGGUCAGCUUCCCCCUUUUAGAUCCCAAUAAAUACGGUUAUAUGGACAGGGGGACCUGAUCCUAGAUCAGCUCUCCUACUCUGAGACACAUGAUACAAAGCCCCAAGGAGCAACAAUCGGUUUCCCAAUUGAACAUGCUAUUUAAAUGCAGAACUAGUCUUAAAUCGGUGUCCGGGAAACUGGCCUUAAAUGUUGUCAGCAACGUAGCGCUGGUUAAAGGCGCCAUCUGCAGUUCAAACUGGCCUUAAAUGUUGUCAGCAACGUAGCGCUGGUUAAAGGCGCCAUCUGCAGUUCAAACUGGCCUUAAAUGUUGUCAGCAACGUAGCGGGGGUUAAAGGCGCCAUCUGCAGUUCAAACUAGAGGUCGGCCGGUUAAUUAGGGCCGAUUUCAAGUUUUCAUAACAAAUCGAUAUUCAGCAUUUCUGGACGCUGAUUAUGGCCAUGAUUACAUUCAAUUCCAUGAGGAGACUGAGUGGCAGGCUGACCACCUGUUACGCGAGUGCAGCAAGGAGCCAAGGUAAGUUGCUAGCUAACAUUAAACUUAUCACAUUAAAAAAAAAAUCAAUCUUCACAUAAUCACUAGUUAACUACACAUGGUUGAUGAUAUUACUAGGUUAACUAGCUUGUCCUGCGUUGCCUGUUAAUUUAGCAUCGAGUCACAGCCUGCCAAACGGGGGAUAAUUUAACAAAAACACAAUCAUUGCACGAAUGUACCCAACCAUAAACAUAAACGCCUUUAAUAAAAUCAAUACACAGAAGUAAAUAUUUUUAAACCUGCAUAUUUAGCUAAAAGAUAUUCAUUUUAGCAGGCAAUAUUAACAAGGGAAAUUGUGUCACUUCUCUUGCGUUCAUUGCACACAGAGUAAGGGUAUAUGCAACAGUUUGGGCCGCCUGAUUUGCCAGAAUUUUAGAUAAUUGUGACAUAACAUUGAAGGUUGUGCAACGUAACAGGAAUAUUUAGACUAAUGGAUGCCACCCGUUAGAUAAAAUACAGAACGGUUCCGUAUUUCACUGAAAGAAUAAACGUUUUGUUUUCGAAAUGAUAGUUUCCGGAUUUGACCAUAUUGAUGACCUAAGGCUCAUAUUUCUGUGUUUAUUAUAUUAUAACUAAGUCUAUG